CAGCCUGUCUAACAGUACUUCGGUUCAAAUCUGUUUAUUUUUCAUCUUCCUUCUGGUUGCAUGUUCUUUGCUCAUAUGGGGGGAGAUAUUUGUCGAACAAAAUGAUGUUAAGGAUUUCUUUGUUGGAAUGGGAGCAUCUCUCAUUUUCAAUGGCUGGAAACCAUCUGAGUUAUGUUUCCCUGCUAUUGCUGGUGCUGGGUAUCGAUUUGUUGUUUUCGUUUCAAGCUUGAGAUUUAUGUUGAAGUUAUUCCUUUCCUAUUUUUGGAUGGGAAAUUUUUAUACGACGUUGUUUGAAAAGUGAAAAUGAUAUGAAAUUGGGUUCUUAAUAAAUUCCUGCAUUCAUUGUGUUUGUUGAAAUUAGUAUGAGCCAGCCCAUCAUCUUCCCACUGCUUUUUUGUUGUUGAUGAUUCUCUAUGUGUGAGAUUUGUGGUUGCUUUGUCAAUUUCAGUUUUGAAACUUCUGCUGAAAGGUGUGUUUUAGAAUCUAGAGGUUAUAUAGUGAGUGAACACAUCUACAACUAUGACGGGAAUUCUAGCUAGUGUCUAGAUUUUUUCCUGUGACAAGGAUGCACAGGCUCAGCCUUUUGCUUGGCGAAGUUUUUUCCGGUGCUUCACGGUGCAACUGCACUAGAACUAUGGUGCAACAGGACUUAUGACAGUGGCACAAUCUGAUGUUAAUAAAACCAACCAGAGUUGCUAUGGUGAAUCAAAGCUGAAUUACUGGACAAUUGAUGGGAGCCAUGAAGUACUCGUGCCUCUAUGUAUGAUUUUCAAGUUAAUUGGUUGACCUUAUUAAUCUAUCAUUCUUUGUUUGCAUUUGCAAGUGAAAAUUGCAGAUUUUAUAGAUGGGUUGCAGGUAAAGAAGGGCCUGUUUGUGAUAA